AUCACGAGCAACAAUGUAUAAAGGCAACUGCUGGGAUACCUGGGUAUUCAUUCAUCCACCAUGAAGGCUGCCUAUCUAAUUCUCCUCGUCUCUGUCCUGCUCAUCGGAGCAGCGUUUGUCGCUGAUGCCCAGUGUAACGGCAUUUGCCACAACGACCUGGAAUGCGCACACUGCCAAAACCUAUGCCCCGUUGGAGGGGAGUGUACCAGACGCCCUGAUGAUGCCGUUGGCGCUUGUGUAUGUCGUCAUUAGUGCUGUAUCCUAGGAAGAGUUGCUGAAUAAGCUGCCACCUUGUACCAAGGGUUAAUAAAUGAUAUAAACAAGAA